UGAAUUUGGGUUUAUUCUGCGCAGCAUAGGUGGGAGGCAAAGACCAUACAUUUGUGGAUGUAUAUGAGCCMUCAGUGAGAUACCMCUCUUAAUAAACUAGAMUUCUAAUUUUGAAUGCCAUAAKCUGGCCAAAAAACAGUUCCAGGUGGGCAGUUUGACUGGGGCGGUCGCCUCCUAAAAAGUAACGGAGGCGCSCAAAGGUUCCCUCAGGCUGGUCGGAAAUCAGUCGUAGAGUGUAAAGGCAUAAGGGAGCUUGACUGCAAGACCUACAAGUCGAGCAGAGACGAAAGUCGGCCUUAGUGAUCCGACAGUACCGAGUGGAAGGGCUGUC
rnacentral:rRNA from 1 species